rnacentral:misc_RNA from 1 species
AGUCGUAACAAGGUAUCCGUAGGUGAACCUGCGGAUGGAUCAUUAUAGGGUGUUGGGUAAUUGUGAGUGGUUUUAUUAUUAGUAGUUUGAGCGGUGUUGGUUGGGAUGCGAAGCAGGAUUGCCAAGCAGGAUUGCUUGCAGGAUUGCCAAGCAGGAUUGCCAAGCAGGAUUGCCAAGCAGGAUUGCCAAGCAAGACAGCCAACAUUGCCUCACGUUAAACUCUAUAAAUCUAACAAUUACAUACAAAAAAAAACAACUUUUAGCAACGGAUCUCUUGGCUCUC